AACAUUUCUCCCUUCUCCCUCUCUGUUUUGUUCUCUUUCUCUUACACACAAACACAAAUUUCUCUCCCUCAAUCUCACACAAACAAACUCUCUUUCAAACACGCAUAGAUCACCGGCAGAGAACAAAGAUUAGAGUCCUCCCCACUUCUAAGAACAUGCAGCUUAAUCACCAUAUUGAUUGUAGCCGUUGAGAUAGAGAAGCACGAGAGAGUGAAGAUUGAAGAACGAAAGAGAAAAGGGAUGAGAGAGAAAGAAUUAUUUUUUUAUUCAACCGGGUAUUAUUUUAAGUGUGAAUAUUGUCUAGAUAUGCUACAGUGAUUGCUACAGUGCUCUCCAGGCCUGGAGAGCUACUGUAGCAAAUCUAAAAAAAAAAAUGGAGAUGCCGAGUUUGUUGGAGGGGUGAUUUUGCGUGAACAGUGGCUUUUGCUCUCCAAAAUUUAGAGAAGGCUAGCCUGUUGGAGAUGCUCUUAUUCUUUCUCUAUUUUUAUUUUAAUGGGGGCAAAUCACACUAACGCCCUCCUUGGACUUUUAUUUAUUUUUUAUGGAAUAAAAAAGAGAGCUCAUGCCGAUGCGUGUGUUCACGGCCCUUUGGACUUU